rnacentral:rRNA from 1 species
GACGAACGCUGGCGGCGUGCUUAACAUAUGCAAGUCGAACGGAAAGGCCCUGCUUUUGUGGGGUGCUCGAGUGGCGAACGGGUGAGUAACACGUGAGUAACCUGCCCUUGACUUUGGGAUAACUUCAGGAAACUGGGGCUAAUACCGGAUAGGAGCUCCUGCUGCAUGGUGGGGGUUGGAAAGUUUCGGCGGCUGGGGAUGGACUCGCGGCUUAUCAGCUUGUUGGUGGGGUAGUGGCUUACCAAGGCUUUGACGGGUAGCCGGCCUGAGAGGGUGACCGGCCACAUUGGGACUGAGAUACGGCCCAGACUCCUACGGGAGGCAGCAGUGGGGAAUAUUGCACAAUGGGCGGAAGCCUGAUGCAGCAACGCCGCGUGCGGGAUGACGGCCUUCGGGUUGUAAACCGCUUUCGCCUGUGACGAAGCGUGAGUGACGGUAAUGGGUAAAGAAGCACCGGCUAACUACGUG